GGGUGGGAUAACCCCAUCCAAUGGCGUCCUACAGUUGCGUUCUGGUUUCGGCCAUUGCAGUUUCUCCUGCCAAGACUACAUGCUUCAACGGACUUAAUUAUCCAACAUUUUCCCCUUCUUCUUCCCUUGGAAAGCCCUUUGUUAAUUGUACCUUAACUUCUUCCAUCAUAUACAGAGCAACUCCGGCCACGGCCAGCUGUGUUUACCAUGAUCCGAUACCGGAAUUUGCUGAAGUUGAAACCAGGAAAUUUAAGGAGCAGUUAUCGAAGAAGCUAGCGAAGGAUCGCGAGACAUUUGGGAACGACCUGGAUUCGGUUGUGGAGGUUUGCUCAAAGAUAUUUAGUGAAUAUUUGCAUGUGGAGUACGGAGGUCCUGGGACAUUAUUAGUGGAGCCUUUCACUAAUAUGUUUAUUGCUCUAAACGAGAGGAAAUUACCUGGAGCGCCUUUGGCCACAAGAACUUCGCUUCUAUGGGCUCAAAACUAUCUAGAUCACGAUUGGAACAUUUGGAUCUCAAAACGAGGGCUCAAAUGAUUUGCUACUUGUUGUUACAUUUGUGAAGAUUGGGUAUUUGAAUCUAGAUUCUGUUAUGUUUUUUUCUCAUGAGUUGAAGAUGGAGGAACAAAUAUUUGUAUCAACACAAAAUUACUCCAAUACAUUGUCAAUUUCAUUGAUUUGAUAUCUUUGUUGCUAUACAAAUGCCUUAUUUCUUGCAGUACAUGAAUCGUUCUGGGGCUCUAGUUUCACACUGAAUUGGAAACUUGGAUGCCCAUUUUCAAGCUCUCUCUGAAUCCUCUGCCAUUGCAACGAGCAUCUUAAAUCAAACUCCUCUAUUCUGCCGUAUGAACCACGCUUGUGCUUGUUAUGAUGAAAAAAGUAUGACACAUGAAUCAGGCGGCAGCUUCAGAGAUGCUCUGCAAUGAUGGUCUCCAAGCCUUUGACCUCGCCGCAGUGGCAUUUGCUGCUGGUGUUCGAAUUCGGUGUCUUUCAUGUUUGACUGCCUGCAAUGUUUUUUGUUUUUUUAGAGAUUAUUGUGAUCGAUUCUGAUUCCAAAGGAAACAAUUGAGUUUACCUGCUGGUUCUUUUCCGUCUCUUCUACUUCACCGCCGGCAGUCCGAUUCUCCUCCGACUCCAUCAAUUGCUUCUUGGAUUUUGCAUACUUUUUAGCCCGCAACACCUUCAUAACCUCUGGAGGUUCCAAACAAAACGUCGGUAAGAGCUAAACUUACUACUAAACAGAGAAGGAAUAGAAAAGCUGUAUCAUACCCUGAGUGGUGACGAGCCGAUAGGCAUGGCCAAGAGCAAGAGUGUCGUUUGGCCGGAGAAGCUUAACACGAGUAAAACGCACCGUUUUGGGCUCCGGAUUGUCAUCCUCAGAUUGAGGUAAGGGAAUUAUAAGAGAAACAUAGUGACCCGGAUUAGUUCUCAUGACCUCGCUAGCCACCACCGGCCAAUACAGCCUCUCAAUCCGGCCACUUGGGUGCUGUAUUACCAGAGCCGCCGCAUCAACCGCCUGGCAAUUCCCCAUCUGAACUCUGUGAUGGUAGAUUGAAAGAAGACGAGGAAGAGGAGGAAAGGAAGAAGAAGAAUGAUGAUAAAUAGGAGGAAAAGAAGUCCCUUUCUAUACAGCUUCUUUGCUCGCCAAAUGGGUCUACUUAGAAUUGCAGGCCGUCCAUUCAUAUAUCUCGCACUUCCCAACUAAUUUAAUGCAACGUGGGUCAAACUUAUAUCGAAAAUUGACAUUGUAACGUACGGAUAAUAUAGUAUUCAACUUCACCUUCUUUUACUUUUUA